rnacentral:rRNA from 1 species
AUUGAACGCUAGCGGAAUGCCUUACACAUGCAAGUCGAACGGCAGCACGGACUUCGGUCUGGUGGCGAGUGGCGAACGGGUGAGUAAUGUAUCGGAACGUGCCCAGUAGCGGGGGAUAACUACGCGAAAGCGUAGCUAAUACCGCAUACGCCCUACGGGGGAAAGAGGGGGAUCGCAAGACCUCUCACUAUUGGAGCGGCCGAUAUCGGAGUAGCUAGUUGGUGGGGUAAAGGCUCACCAAGGCGACGAUCCGUAGCUGGUUUGAGAGGACGACCAGCCACACUGUGACUGAGACACGGCCCAGACUCCUACGGGAGGCAGCAGUGGGGAAUUUUGGACAAUGGGGGAAACCCUGAUCCAGCCAUUCCGCGUGUGUGAAGAAGGCCUUCGGGUUGUAAAGCACUUUUGGCAGGAAAGAAACGGCCCUGGAUAAUACCCGGGGUAACUGACGGUACCUGCAGAAUAAGCACCGGCUAACUACGUGCCAGCAGCCGCCGUAAAAC